rnacentral:rRNA from 1 species
CCCUUAGAUGUCCUGGGCCGCACGCGCGCUACACUGAUGCAUUCAACGAGUAUUUCCUUGGCCGAGAGGCCUGGGCAAUCUUUUAAACCUGCAUCGUGAUAGGGAUAGAUUAUUGCAAUUAUUAAUCUUGAACGAGGAAUUCCUAGUAAACGCAAAUCAUCAAUUUGCAUUGAUUACGUCCCUGCCCUUUGUACACACCGCCCGUCGCACCUACCGAUUGAAUGGUCCGGUGAAAUCUCGGGAUUGUGGCUAGUUCACUUUAUUGGGAGUUGGCUGCGAGAACUUGCUUAAACCUUAUCAUUUAGAGGAAGGUGAAGUCGUAACA